rnacentral:lncRNA from 1 species
AAAGAUUCCCAAAUCAUCUUGAUAGCGUUGGGCGGACUUGGGGCCGAAUACCAACCCUUCAUGACAUCAAUCACAACCAGGUUUGACAACAAGAUGACUUUUCCCAAUUUAAAAGAUUUUUACUGGAUUAUGAUCUACAACUCUCAACAACAUCGACACCCAUACGGAAUGAAGUGAAUGUUGUGAAAAAUAAAAACGAAGAUCGACGGGAAAGAAUUACAUGUCAAAUUUGUACAAGGAGGG